rnacentral:rRNA from 1 species
AUUGAACGCUGGCGGCAGGCCUAACACAUGCAAGUCGAGCGGAGCGGCGGACGGGUGAGUAAUGCCUAGGAAUCUGCCUGGUAGUGGGGGAUAACGUCCGGAAACGGGCGCUAAUACCGCAUACUAUCAGAUGAGCCUAGGUCGGAUUAGCUAGUUGGUGGGGUAACGGCUCACCAAGGCGACGAUCCCUAGCUGGUCUGAGAGGAUGACCAGCCACACUGGAAAUGAGAAACGGUAGAGACUCCUACGAGAGGCAUGAGUGGGGAAUAUGGCACAAUGGGCGCAAGCGUGAUGCAGACAUGACGCGUGUAUGAAGAAGGCCUUCGGGUUGUAAAGUACUUUCAGCGGGGAGGCGUUACCCGCAGAAGAAGCACCGGCUAACUCCGUGCCAGCAGCCGCGGUAAUAC